rnacentral:rRNA from 1 species
CCAAACAAACCCACAAGCUUAAGAGUUAUUCAAAUUAGGUACAGCUUAUUUGAAACAGGACACAACCUCCCCCCAUUGGGUAAAGAAGGGCAAUAAAAAUAAAGUGGGCCCAAAAGCAGCCACCUUUAAAAUAGCGUCAAAGCUUAACUAUUACAGCCCGUAAUUACUUAAACACCCCCAACCCCCUAAUCCCUAUUGAACCAUUUUAUAUUUUUAUAAAAAUGAUUAUGCUAGAACUAGUAACAAGAACUUGCCCUUCUCCUCAUGUAAGCAUAAACCAAAACGGACACUCCGUUGGUAAUUAACGUAAAUGCCAAACUAUAAUAACAAACACCAGAAAACCUUAUAGCCCACCAACGUUACCCUAACACCAGAACAUCUCAGGAAAGAUUAAAAGAGGGAGAAGGAACUCGGCAAAUUUUAGCCCCGCCUGUUUACCAAAAACAUCGCCUCCUGACUAAACAUAGGAGGUCCAGCCUGCCCAGUGAUAACAUUCAACGGCCGCGGUAUACUAACCGUGCGAAGGUAGCAUAAUCACUUGUUCUUUAAAUAAGGACUUGUAUCAACGGCACCACGAGGGCUAUACUGUCUCCCCCCUCCAAUCAGUGAAACUGAUCUCCCCGUGAAGAAGCGGGGAUUAAUAUAUAAGACGAGAAGACCCCAUGGAGCUUUAAACCCAAUAUACACCCCUUCGCUCAAGCACCAAUUUAACCUCAAGGAUCUGUAUAUCGGUUUUAGGCUGGGGGGGCCACGGAGUAAAAUUAAACCUCCACAACAAAUGGGCUAAUUACCCUUAUCUACGAUUUACGAAUCUAAGAAUCAUCAAAAUGAUGUUUAAUGACCCGAUAAUUCGAUCAUUGAACCAAGUUACCCUGGGGAUAACAGCGCAAUCCACUUCAAGAGCCCAUAUCGACAAGUGGGUUUACGACCUCGAUGUUGGAUCAGGG